rnacentral:rRNA from 1 species
UGCAAGUCGAACGGGAAUCUUCGGAUUCUAGUGGCGGACGGGUGAGUAACGCGUAAGAAUCUAACUUCAGGACGGGGACAACAGUUGGAAACGACUGCUAAUACCCGAUGUGCCGAAAGGUGAAACCUAAUUGGCCUGAAGAAGAGCUUGCGUCUGAUUAGCUAGUUGGUGGGGUAAGAGCCUACCAAGGCGACGAUCAGUAGCUGGUCUGAGAGGAUGAGCAGCCACACUGGGACUGAGACACGGCCCAGACUCCUACGGGAGGCAGCAGUGGGGAAUUUUCCGCAAUGGGCGAAAGCCUGACGGAGCAACGCCGCGUGAGGGAGGAAGGUCUUUGGAUUGUAAACCUCUUUUCUCAAGGAAGAAGUUCUGACGGUACUUGAGGAAUCAGCCUCGGCUAACUCCGUGCCAGCGGGGGGCGGUAAUACGGGGGAGGCAAGCGUUAUCCGGAAUUAUUGGGCGUAAAGCGUCCGCAGGUGGUCAGCCAAGUCUGCCGUCAAAUCAGGUUGCUUAACGACCUAAAGGCGGUGGAAACUGGCAGACUAGAGAGCAGUAGGGGUAGCAGGAAUUCCCAGUGUAGCGGUGAAAUGCGUAGAGAUUGGGAAGAACAUCGGUGGCGAAAGCGUGCUACUGGGCUGUAUCUGACACUCAGGGACGAAAGCUAGGGGAGCGAAAGGGAUUAGAUACCCCUGUAGUCCUA